AGUUGGCUGAUGUACCCUUGAGCAAGGCACUUAACCCCCCCCAAUUGCUCCCCAGGCACCUGACAUGCCAGUUGGCCUCAUUGUGUGGA